rnacentral:tRNA from 1 species
GACUUCGUAGUUAAGCUGGUAGAACACUUGCCAUGUUUAGGCAUGGUGUUUCUGACACUGGUUGGAAUCCAGUCGAAGCUU